UAAUAGGUUUCCCGUUUCUAAUAAAAGUUGUUCUACGUUAUUUUUGACAUUUUGUUUUGUUUCCAUAACUUUAUCCCAUCUUUAUGUAUAUAAACUUUCAUUUUCUUUAUUUUAUUUUUCAUUGUCAUUUUUUAUAACAACAUAAUCUAAUAUCAAUAAAUUAUCUUUUUUAAAAUUUUAAAUUUAAAAAAUUUCAAAUAUCAAUACAUUAAAAUUUAAGUCAAUAAAAUUAAUUAUAAAAAAUAUGCAUUUUCUCUUAUU
rnacentral:lncRNA from 1 species